AUUGAACGCUGGCGGCAUGCCUUACACAUGCAAGUCGAACGGUAGCGGGCCUUCGGGUGCCGACGAGUGGCGAACGGGUGAGUAAUGUAUCGGAACGUACCUUUCAGUGGGGGAUAACGUAGCGAAAGUUACGCUAAUACCGCAUAUUCUGUGAGCAGGAAAGCAGGGGAUCGCAAGACCUUGCGCUGAUUGAGCGGCCGAUAUCAGAUUAGCUAGUUGGUGAGGUAAAGGCUCACCAAGGCGACGAUCUGUAGCGGGUCUGAGAGGAUGAUCCGCCACACUGGAACUGAGACACGGUCCAGACUCCUACGGGAGGCAGCAGUGGGGAAUUUUGGACAAUGGGGGCAACCCUGAUCCAGCCAUGCCGCGUGAGUGAAGAAGGCCUUCGGGUUGUAAAGCUCUUUCGGCCGGGAAGAAAUCGUAUCAGCUAAUACCUGGUGCGGAUGACGGUACCGGCAUAAGAAGCACCGGCUAACUCCGUGCCAGCCGCCGCCGUAAAAC
rnacentral:rRNA from 1 species